ACAGACCACAACUCUUCACUA
rnacentral:miRNA from 1 species